rnacentral:rRNA from 1 species
GACAGCAGCAUUACCACCUUCUGUCCUGAUCUCGACAGAUCUCAGAAGCUAAGGCAAGCCUGGGCCUGGUCAGUACUGGGAUGGGAGACCUCUCAUGAAAACCAGGUUGUUGCAGUAA